rnacentral:rRNA from 1 species
GGAUUGUCUUAGUAACGGCGAGUGAAGCGACAAAAGCUCAAAUUUGAAAUCUGGCACCUUCGGUGUCCGAGUUGUAAUUUGAAGAAGGUAACUUUGGAGUUGGCUCUUGUCUAUGUUCCUUGGAACAGGACGUCACAGAGGGUGAGAAUCCCGUGCGAUGAGAUGUCCAACUCUAUGUAAAGUGCUUUCGAAGAGUCGAGUUGUUUGGGAAUGCAGCUCUAAGUGGGUGGUAAAUUCCAUCUAAAGCUAAAUAUUGGCGAGAGACCGAUAGCGAACAAGUACAGUGAUGGAAAGAUGAAAAGAACUUUGAAAAGAGAGUGAAAAAGUACGUGAAAUUGUUGAAAGGGAAGGGUUUGAGAUCAGACUUGGUAUUUUGUAUGUCUUGCUUUCGGGUGGGGCCUCUGCAGUUUACUGGGCCAGCAUCGGUUUGGACGGUAGGAUAAUGACAUUGGAAUGUGGCACUACUUCGGUGGUGUGUUAUAGACUUUGUUGAUACUGCCUGUCUAGACCGAGGACUGCGUCUUUGACUAGGAUGCUGGCAUAAUGAUCCUAA